rnacentral:misc_RNA from 1 species
GAAGAAAAAUAAAAAGAACAGAGAGGGAGAACGAGCGAGAAAGAGAGAACGAAGAGGAAAGCAAAGACAUUGAGAAGGUAGCGUGCUUGAUCAAGAUUCUUCAGUGGACGUAGGUUAUGGUUUAUUUCUAUGUGAUAGAUAAACUCUAAAUAGCGAUCGAUAUGUAUUGGGUAGUAUUGUAAAGUCUCUAUAUGCUUGAUUGUGUGUUUGUAUGUUGUGAUUGUGUAAUUGUGGUGGUCAGAAUGAUGAGGCUGUUGAAUCUUUAAUCUUAAAUCCUCUCUAUUAAG